GCUCCCACCAGAGCUUGGAAUCCGUCUCUGCUCUUCUGCAUUCUCCACCUCGGGAGCCCCUGGGGACUCUGUGACGGCCUCUGUUGCCCUGUGAUCUGCAGGUCCGGAGAGACGCACAGCUAAGAUGUCAGGACAUCCUGGAAGCUGGGAAAGGGUCUUGCCAUCUCUAAGCUGGACCUGGUGACCUUUUUGGAGGGAAAGAAAGAGCCCUGGACUGUGAAGAGUGAGGAGACCAUAGCUGCACAGCCAGAGAUGGGGUUCCAUCAUGUUUUCCAGGCUGAUCUCAAACUCCCACGGUCAAGCGAUCUGCUGGCCUCGGCCUCUCAAGUCCAGAUGUAUAAUCUCAUCCCUGAACAUUUCUGAUGGUGUGAUUAUGACAUGUGACUUUAUCUGGCAACAGAGUGAGUUGUUGCUCCCGCCUGAGCCCAGCCCCCAGAAAGGAUUGUGACAUAUCGUUGGACCCAGAAUUGAGGUGCAGUUUUGACACACUUCUGUCUAGCAGCUGAGUAUUGUGAUCUUCAGAACUGGCCCAGCCUACAAAUAGGAUUGUGCCACACUGCUGGACCCAGCACCUAGAUGAUGUAACUAUUCUCCUGCCUUGGUGCUACUCAAAAAAGACAUUAACAUAUCUCAGAGCCUUGCACCCAGAAGGCAUUGAGACAUGGCUGGGCUCAGCACUAAGAAGAUGUGAGUCCUCUGCCUGAAGCCUGACCACAGGGAGCAUUGUGACACAUUUCUUGACCCAUUACAAUCUCUUCUACGGGCAAAGCUGAGGUGGAAUUGUGACAUAUAACUUGGCCAAGCACACAGAUGUAAUGGUGUGGUGACUCUCAUACCUAGAACUGGGACCUGUGCAGGAUUGUUAAUUCAUUACUGGACAUUCCUGUGGGUGUGAUUGUUACAUAUGCCUAUGUUCAGCACCCGAGUGAUUUGAUUUUGCUGCCUGGUCUCAGUCCAAAUGUAAGAUUGUGAUUUAUCGCUGAAUCCAGCACCUCGGUGAUUUGACUCUCCCUUUUUUUGUGGGAGGGAUCCUGCAAAUUUUGGGUAUUGUCAAUUAUUGCUGAAUCCUGUACCCAUGUUAUGACUCUCCCAAAUGUGCCUUACCUGUUGUGGCACAAUAUAUCACAUUAGACAUUGUUAAAUAUUGUUGGGUUCAACACCUGGGUGAUGGAUGUAACUUUUUUUCUGGGCCUGCCUACAGGGGACCUUGUGACAUAACUCAAUGCCCAUCAUCAUGGUAAUGUUACUCUCUUCUCCUGCCUGAUCUCUGCUCACAGAGAAAUUGUGACACAUCACUGGCCUAGCAUCUAGGUGAUGUGACUCUCCUCUUUUUUUCAGGCUCUGCAUAUUUGGGUAUUGUGACAUAUUGCUGAACUCAACACCUAAGGGAUGGGAGUCUCCUACCUAGGCCCUUCCUACAGGGGACAUUGUGACAUGUCUCUGCAUUCCUCAUCCAGGAGAUGUGACUCUCCUUUUCUGCCUACACCCUGCCUACACAGAAAGUUGUGGCAUAUUGCUGUGGUCAGCAACCAGAUGAUAUAUUUCUCCUGCCUGGGUCUUUAUUACAGGAAAGAUGAUUGACAUAUUACUGGGCCCAGCAUCCAGAUGAUGUGACUCUCUUCUUCUGUUGGUCCUUGCUUACAGGGAAACUGUAGCAUAUUGCUACACCCAACACCUAGCUUAUGUGAUUCUUCUUUUAGGUUUGCCUUCAGGGAACAUUGUGACAUAUUGCUGGGCCCUGCACUGAUAAUUUGUGACUCUUCUGCCUGUGAUUUGCCCACUUGGGGCAUUGUGACAUAUUGCUGGGUUUAACACUCAGGUGAUGUAACUUUUAUGCCUAGGCCUUGCUUACAGGAGGCAUUUUGAAAUGUCUUUGUGGCUGGGCAUGGUGGCUCAUGUCUGUAAUCCCAGCGCUUGGGGAGGCCAAGGUGGGCAGAUCACAAAGUCAGGAGUUCGAGACCAGCC
ensembl:lncRNA novel transcript